rnacentral:sRNA from 1 species
GCCGGGCAUGGUGGCACACGCCUUUAAUCCCAGCACUUGGGAGGCAGAAGUAGGAGGCUUGCUGUGAGUUCGAGGCCACCCUGAGACACCAUAGUGAAUUCCAGGUCAGCCUGGGCUAGAGUGAGACCCUACCUCGAAGAAAAAAAAAAAAAAAAGAUAGGGUCUCAUUCUAGUCCAGGCUGACCUGGAAUUCACUAUGUAGUCUCAGACUGGCCCCCAACUCACAGCGCGCCUCCUACUUCU